GACAGAGGAUGCAAGCGUUAUCCGGAAUGAUUGGGCGUAAAGCGUCUGUAGGUGGCUUUUUAAGUCCGCCGUCAAAUCCCAGGGCUCAACCCUGGACAGGCGGUGGAAACUACCAAGCUGGAGUACGGUAGGGGCAGAGGGAAUUUCCGGUGGAGCGGUGAAAGUGCGUUGAGAUCGGAAGGAACGCCCGUGGCGAAAGCGAGGUCCUGGACCCUUUCUGACGCUGAGACGCGAAAGCCAGGGGAGCGAACGGG
rnacentral:rRNA from 1 species